CUCAGAUUGAACGCUGGCGGCAUGCUUUACACAUGCAAGUCGAACGGUAACAGGUCUUCGGAUGCUGACGAGUGGCGAACGGGUGAGUAAUACAUCGGAACGUGCCUAGUAGUGGGGGAUAACUACUCGAAAGAGUAGCUAAUACCGCAUGAGAUCUACGGAUGAAAGCAGGGGACCUUCGGGCCUUGUGCUACUAGAGCGGCUGAUGGCAGAUUAGGUAGUUGGUGGGGUAAAGGCUUACCAAGCCUGCGAUCUGUAGCUGGUCUGAGAGGACGACCAGCCACACUGGGACUGAGACACGGCCCAGACUCCUACGGGAGGCAGCAGUGGGGAAUUUUGGACAAUGGGCGAAAGCCUGAUCCAGCAAUGCCGCGUGCAGGAUGAAGGCCCUCGGGUUGUAAACUGCUUUUGUACGGAACGAAAAGCUCUGGGCUAAUACCCCGGAGUCAUGACGGUACCGUAAGAAUAAGCACCGGCUAACUACGUGCCAGCAGCCGCGGUAAUACGUAGGGUGCAAGCGUUAAUCGGAAUUACUGGGCGUAAAGCGUGCGCAGGCGGUUUUGUAAGACAGUGGUGAAAUCCCCGGGCUCAACCUGGGAACUGCCAUUGUGACUGCAAAGCUAGAGUGCGGCAGAGGGGGAUGGAAUUCCGCGUGUAGCAGUGAAAUGCGUAGAUAUGCGGAGGAACACCGAUGGCGAAGGCAAUCCCCUGGGCCUGCACUGACGC
rnacentral:rRNA from 1 species